rnacentral:rRNA from 1 species
UGCCUAACACAUGCAAGUCGAACGGUAACAGUCCUUCGGGAGCUGACGAGUGGCGCACGGGUGAGUAACGCGUGGAUAUCUGCCUAUGAGUGGGGGACAACUUUCGGAAACGGAAGCUAAUACCGCAUACACUUUACGGAGUAAAGCAGGGGACCUUCGGGCCUUGUGCUCAUAGAUGAGUCCGCGUCAGAUUAGCUAGUUGGUAGGGUAAAAGCCUACCAAGGCGAUGAUCUGUAACUGGUUUGAGAGGAUGAUCAGUCACACUGGAACUGAGACACGGUCCAGACUUCUACGGAAGGCAGCAGUGGGGAAUUUUGCACAAUGGGCGCAAGCCUGAUGCAGCGAUGCCGCGUGUGGGAAGAAGGCUUUAGGGUUGUAAACCACUUUCAAUUGGGAAGAAGAGAUGAGCGUUAAUAACGCUCUGAUUUGACGGUACCUUUAGAAGAAGCACCGGCUAAUUUCGUGCCAGCAGCCGCGGUAAUACGAAAGGUGCAAGCGUUGUUCGGAUUUACUGGGCGUAAAGAGAUCGUAGGUGGUUUGUUAAGUUGGAUGUGAAAUCCCGGGGCUCAACCUCGGAACUGCAUCCAAAACUGACGGACUUGAGUUUGGGAGGGGUAAGCGGAAUUCCGUGUGUAGCAGUGAAAUGCGUAGAUAUACGGAGGAACACCUGAGGCGAAGGCGGCUUACUGGACCAAUACUGACACUGAGGAUCGAAAGCGUGGGUAGCAAACAGGAUUAGAUACCCUGGUAGUCCACGCCCUAAACGAUGUCAACUAGCCGUUGCGGGUAUCGACCCCUGCAGUGGCGCAGCUAACGCGAUAAGUUGACCGCCUGGGGAGUAC